AAAUCGAAUCUGGGAGACACUGACUUUCAGGGCCGAAGGAGCAACCGCCUCGGAAACUCUCAGGCAAAAGGACCGAAUUCGAAAA
rfam:Rhizobiales bacterium TMED162 MHASMcontig_2469, whole genome shotgun sequence.